UCUUCAAAAGACCGUAUUUUUGUGAUGUCACUGUGGAUUUGAUGGUAUCUUAAACAUGCUCUCUGCAGGUGUGAUGAAAAGGCCCUCGAAGAUUCUUUAUGUAAGCGUAUAAUUGUCACUCGCUAUGAGAACAUAACAAAAUGUCUUGAUCCAGAGACUACAUCUCUCAGUAGAGAUGCCUUGGCAAAAAUUGUUUACUCACAGUUAUUUGAUUGACUUGCAGGCUCAUGAACAAGAUAAAUAAUUCAAUAGGGCAAGAUCCUAAUUCGAAGGUUUUGAUCGGGGUGUUGGAUAUUUAUGGUUUUGAACUUUCACUUGCAAUUUAUAUAUAUGCUCUCUGCAGCUUCCUUAAAGAAAAACCAGUGGCUGCUCCUACUGCUUCUGUUGAACUCUUUUUCUGUUUCUAACUUGUGUUCUUUCCUGCUCUGAGUAGAUAGUAAAUGGGUUGCUGCAAAGAUAAGACUGGGAUACUGCAAUCAAGGUGCCCCUUGGAAUAAUUCCAGCACAUACAUUGCCAUAUUUCCCAACAUGUAAUCUUCAACCAUAUUAUACACUAUUAGAUGCAGUAAGGUGUUGCAGAAAGUUAUGCCAACAUAGCAUAAUAGUUCGGUCUUCUAAAUAAUGACAAUGUUUCGAAUUUGAAAAUGGGCUGAAAUUGGGAGAAAACCAGUGAAUACUCAACUUCUGCAAAAUUCCAUUAAUCAUGACAUCACCACCCCUAACUUGCACCAUGUUUACACUUUACAUUCCACAUGCACUAAGGUUCUCCCUUGAUUCAUUCUUAGUUAAAGCUAUCUUAGCUUCUUGCAUACGCACUAAACUUUUACCUCCUAGUUAACAAAUUUCCUCUUACCCAUUUCAAGUGUUCUUUUUAGCUACAAUUAUUUGCUGAUAGUGUCAUGCCUCUUUUUCUCUUCCUUUUCAGGCUUCUAUCAUAUUACCCAAUUGUUUGACUAAACUGUGAUACCUUACACAUUGUGGUUUCGUUUUUUUCUCCAAUUAAUCUUCCUAUAUUUAGAAAGUGAAGAAAAAAGAUAUUGGUAAAGGAAUUCUCAAUAAUCCUUCUUACUCAAAGAUUAUUUUUCUAUUACUCUUCAUUUUGAGUUUCCACUUCUACAAGAAAAUAACUUGAUAGAAAAAAAGUAAUUUUUCAUAUUUUAACAAAGGAUAAAUAUCUAUAUGUGAAAAGAAACUCUUGUAUGAAUUCUUCUUUCUGACAGCGAAACUCUUAGAUGGACUUUUUUCCCCUCUUUUCUUUUCUGUGAUCGCUAUUAUAUUUUAUUUUUAAUUGAUUUAUAACAGAAACUAUUCCUUGCAUUGUACCUUUUCAAACCCUCAUUCUUUCAUCCAUCAAGAUGUUCCCCCAGCUCAAUAGAUACUGCUUUGCCUGCUUUUACUAGAUAGAGUGAGUGACAUCCAGGAUAAGAAAAGGGGUCCUCUGCUCCCUUCUGGAAAGGCGGGAAACUACUUGAAUUCUUGCAGGAACCCAAUGUCAGUGGAGAUGCAAAGGAUGCGGCAACAACUUGAAUUCUUGCAGGCAGAGCUGCUUGCUCGCAGUGGAGGGGCUCCAACCAAUGAGUUCAGGAUGGUCAGCUCAUGAUUGUAAGCUCUGUACUAUUUGGACUGGAUGAGACUAGUAUCUUCAGUUUGGGCUCUGAUGGGAAGGUAUGCUAGUGGCUUCAUGAAUUGCAAAACACCCUUUGUUUGAAGCGGAUCAAAUUAACAUCUCUGCCUAGCCUAUUCUCUCUGAAAGUGUGAAUAUUCAUUUUUGCCAAUUUUCACUUCUGAAACAUAUAUGCAGCUAUUGCGAGUAGGAUAAAGUUUAUUCCUUGACUUGAUACGCCCAUAACAUCUCUGCCUGUUUCCUCUGAAAUUCUGAUCUUUCAUUUAUGCCAAUUAUCACUUCUCAAAGCUUAAGUUUGUGCCAACUAAAGCCUUGCUCCAUGGUAAAGGUAAGGUGUGAGAUUAGAUAAUGGGAGCAACCUUUGUUCAAUAGAAAGAGGAAAAAAGAAGGCUUGUCAUUAUCUGCACAAAGAGUAUUUUCUGUAAAUGACUUGAUAAUUUCUAUGUUGUAAAUAACUUGAUAACUUUAUACAUUUACUUUGAAGGGUUUAAUACUUGUGCUUACUCAUCUUUUUAUCUUGAUGUACGCAGGAAAACAUCUGAAGAUCCAUGUUUGUCGCUCUUUAGGGGAUUUAUCUGUUGUGAAGAUUUAGAACUUAAUCGUCCCAAUAGAGACAUUUUGACCUUUUGAUUAAGUAGAAGCUCUUUGUUUUAAUCAUGGAGGAUUUGUGAUAUGUGCUUAAUUUGGUAAGUUUGUGUGUAAAACUUGUGAAGAAUUAUCUCAAUCCUAUUGCUAUAAUAUUGUUCUUCGUUGUAAUGAAUUGUUCAUUAUAUUAAGGCUAAAGUUUGGUUA